UAAUUCUGAAGUAUGAAAUCAUCUACCAGAGGAAGGGCAGACUAGUGAACAGAAGAUGAAAUGAAUGAGGAAGAGAGAACAUCAGAACUCUAACUGAUUAUCUCAGUAAAUCUAGAUAUCUACAUGCAUGCAUACUGGAAGUGACUUCUUUUUUCCUUGGAAUUAUGUCUAUCAGUGAAACCUUGUCAGAGCUUGAUGAGAUAAUUUAAGGACUGGAAGAAGUACAGAUGAAUCACUGCAGUGCUAUGCUUGUCCUAAAUGUACCUGCUGAGAAGAAUUACCUCCAGUAAAUACCAUUUAAGAAGUAAACUUUCCGAAUGUAUCCCUGAGAAUCAGAGGUCAAUUAAAUAACCUACAAACCAGCAGGAAAAUUCCAUUCCCUGUUCAAGGUAGGUGUUAUCUCCUUUGACAAGAGUGGGCUAGUGGCAAAUGAAUAAAUUAAUACUUUUUUUUUUUUUCUUCUCCUAG
rnacentral:lncRNA from 1 species